rnacentral:rRNA from 1 species
GACGAACGCUGGCGGCGUGCUUAACACAUGCAAGUCGAACGAUGAACUCCAGCUUGCUGGGGGGAUUAGUGGCGAACGGGUGAGUAACACGUGAGUAACCUGCCCUGGACUCUGGGAUAACCCCGAGAAAUCGGAGCUAAUACCGGAUAGGACCUUCUCCUGCAUGGGGGUUGGUGGAAAGUUUUUCGGUCUGGGAUGGACUCGCGGCCUAUCAGCUUGUUUGUGAGGUAAUGGCUCACCAAGGCGUCGACGGGUAGCCGGCCUGAGAGGGUGACCGGCCGCGCUGAGACUGAGACACGGCCCAGACUCCUACGGGAGGCAGCAGUGGGGAAUAUGGUACAAUGGGCGCAAGCCUGAUGCAGCAACGCGGCGUGCGGGAUGACGGCCUUCGGGCUGUAAACCGCUUUUAGUAAGGAAGAAGGGGAGCUUGCUCCUUGACGGUACUUGCAGAAAAAGGACCGGCUAACUACGUGCCAGCCGCCGCAGUAACAC